AGAGUUUGAUUAUGGCUCAGGAUGAACGCUAGCUACAGGCUUAACACAUGCAAGUCGAGGGGCAGCAUGAUCUAAGCUUGCUUAGAUUGAUGGCGACCGGCGCACGGGUGAGUAACGCGUAUCCAACCUUCCCUAUAGUAGAGGAUAGCCCGGCGAAAGUCGGAUUAAUACUCUAUGUUUUCCAAUGCAGACAUCUAAGUUGGAACAAAGGUUUACCGCUAUAGGAUGGGGAUGCGUCUGAUUAGAUAGUAGGCGGGGUAACGGCCCACCUAGUCUACGAUCAGUAGGGGUUCUGAGAGGAAGGUCCCCCACAUUGGAACUGAGACACGGUCCAAACUCCUACGGGAGGCAGCAGUGAGGAAUAUUGGUCAAUGGGCGAGAGCCUGAACCAGCCAAGUAAGCGUGCAGGAUGACGGCCCUAUGGGUUGUAAACUGCUUUUAUCGGGGGAUAAAGUGAGGGACGUGUCCCUUAUUGUAGGUACCCGAUGAAUAAGGACCGGCUAAUUCCGUGCCAGCCGCUGC
rnacentral:rRNA from 1 species